UGUCUCCUCCCUAGCCAAUCCCUUCAUUAUUAAUGUAAUUUUCAUCGUCGAGAAUUGCAGCGAGCUCCGAUCCGACUUCUUUCAAUAUCAUAAUCAAAAUUCUGUCACCGGGGGAGAGGAAUUGAAUGGGAAUGGUGAAUUGUACAUUCAAAAGCACAGAGAUUUGAGGACCAAGUUGGUGGAUGGGAGUAGCUUGGCAGUGGCAGUUGUGCUCCACAGCAUUCCCAAAGGGACAAGCCAAGUUCUCCUCAGAGGCAACCUUAACAAGCUUGCUUAUGCCAUUGCCCAUGCUUUAUGUGCAAGGGGUAUCCAGGUGAAUGUAGCUUCUAAGGAUGAGCAUGGGAAGCUCAAAAGGAGUCUCAACGGUAAUUGACGAAGCAGUUU